GAUGAACGCUGGCGGCGUGCCUUAUACAUGCAAGUCGAGCGAACACACGAGGAGCUUGCUCCUCUGACGUUAGCGGCGGACAGGUGAGAACCACGUGGAUCACCUACCUAUAAUACUGGAAUAACUUCCUGAAACCGGAGCUAAUACCAGAUAAUAUAUUGAACCGCAUGGUUCAAUGCUGAAAGACGGCUUUGCUGUCACUUAUAGAUGGAUCCGCGCCUCAUUACCUAGCUGGUAAGGUAACUACUUACCAACGGAACGAUGCGUAGCCGACCUGAGAGGGUGAUCGGCCACACUGGAACUGAGGAACGGUCCAUACUCCUACUGGAGGCAGCAAUAGGGAAUCUUCCGCAAUGUGCCAAAGCCUGACAGAGCAACGCCGCGUGAGUGAUGAAUGUCUUCUGAUCGUAAAACUCUGUUAUUAGUGAAGAACAAAUGUGUCAGUACCUAUGCACGUCUUGACGGUUCCUAAUCAGACAGCCACGGCUAACUACGUGCCAGCAGCCGCGGUAAUACGUACGUGGCAAGCGUUAUCCGGAAUUAUUGGGCGUACAGCGCGCGCAGCGGUUUUUUAACUCUGAUGUGAAAUCCCCCGGCUCAACCUGGGAGGGUCAUUGGAGACUGGAUAACUUGAUUGCAGAAGAGGAGAAUGGAAUUCCAUGUGUAGCGGUGAAAUGCGCAGAUAUGUGGAGGAACACCGAUGGCGAAGGCGACUUUCUGGACCGGUACUGACGCUCAUGCGCGAAAGCGUGGGGAUCAAACAGGAUUAGAUACCCUGGUAGUCCACGCCCUAAACGAUGACUGCUGGUUGUUGGGGGGUUUCCGCCCCUUAGUGCAGCAGCGAAGGCAAUAAGCGAUCUUCAUGGCGAGUGGGGCCGCACGGCAGAAACUCAAAUCAAUUGAAGGGGAGCCGCACAACCCAAGGAGCAGAUGAUUUAAUUUAAAGCAACGCGAAGAGCAAUACCUAAUCUACACAUCAUCAUGUCCCCUAUCGAGAUAGAAUUUUCCCCUUCUGGAGACAGAGCCACAACUCAGGCAUGGCAGUCCUCUGCUCAUGUCGUGUGAUGAGAGGUUAAGUCAAGUAACGAGCGCAACCCAUCCGCUUACUUUCCAUCAUUAAAAAGGGCACUCUAAGUUGACUGCCGGUGACAAACCGGAGGAAGGUGGGGAUGACGUCAAAUCAUCAUGCCCCUUAUGAUUUGGGCUACACACGUCAUACAAUGGCCAAUACAAAGGGUAGCCAACCCGCGAGGUCGAGCAAAUCCCAUAAAGCCGUUCUCAGUUCGGAUUGUAGUCUGCAACUCGACUAUAUGAAGUUGGAAUCGCUAGUAAUCGUAGAUCAGCAUGCUACGGUGAAUACGAUCCCGGGUCU
rnacentral:rRNA from 1 species